GAUGAACGCUGGCGGCGUGCCUAAUACAUGCAAGUCGAGCGAACAGACGCGGAGCUUGCUCCUCUGACGUUAGCGGCGGACGGGUGAGUAACACGUGGAUAACCUACCUAUAUGACUGGGAUAACUUCGGGAAACCGGAGCUAAUACCGGAUAAUAUCUUGAACCGCAUGGUUCAAUAGUGAAAGACGGUUUUGCUGUCACUUAUAGAUGGAUCCGCGCCGCAUUAGCUAGUUGGUAAGGUAACGGCUUACCAAGGCAACGAUGCGUAGCCGACCUGAGAGGGUGAUCGGCCACACUGGAGCGGAGACACGGUCCAGGCUCCUACGGGAGGCAGCAGUAGGGAAUCUUCCGCAAUGGGCGAAAGCCUGACGGAGCGACGCCGCGUGAGUGAUGAAGAUCUUCGGAUCGUAAAACUCUGUUAUUAGGGAAGAACAAAUGUGUAAGUAACUAUGCACGUCUUGACGGUACCUAAUCAGAAAGCCACGGCUAACUACGUG
rnacentral:rRNA from 1 species